rnacentral:lncRNA from 1 species
UCAUCAGUCACAUGUCAGCCUAACUCCACCCUGUGCCCUGAAUCUCUGGUGUCAUUAAAAAGCUGCAAGCUACAGAGGGCAGAUUUGCAGCUGUGAUGUAUGAUACAGAACAUUUCAUGAAAAAUGUGUGGAUCAUUCCAUUUGCAUAAUAAUGUAAUAGAAAUUGGAAAAUGAUGUGAGAAAUUGGAAAAUUUAUGUGAGAAAGAAGAAAUCUGGAGACUCCUGAACGAUUUUAAAAGACUCUUUCUGAAUCAAUUAAUAUUCACCUGGA